GUUAUAAUAAUUUAAUAAAAAAUAAUGGUUUUGUAAACCAGAUUUGAAAUAUUCUUAUAAUU
rnacentral:tRNA from 1 species